rnacentral:rRNA from 1 species
CGGAAUCUACCUUUUCGUGGGGGAUAACGUAGGGAAACUUACGCUAAUACCGCAUACGACCUUCGGGUGAAAGCAGGGGACCUUCGGGCCUUGCGCGGAUAGAUGAGCCGAUGUCGGAUUAGCUAGUUGGCGGGGUAAAGGCCCACCAAGGCGACGAUCCGUAGCUGGUCUGAGAGGAUGAUCAGCCACACUGGAACUGAGACACGGUCCAGACUCCUACGGGAGGCAGCAGUGGGGAAUAUUGGACAAUGGGCGCAAGCCUGAUCCAGCCAUACCGCGUGGGUGAAGAAGGCCUUCGGGUUGUAAAGCCCUUUUGUUGGGAAAGAAAAGCAACCAGUUAAUACCUGGUUGUUCUGACGGUACCCAAAGAAUAAGCACCGGCUAACUUCGUGCCAGCAGCCGCGGUAAUACGAAGGGUGCAAGCGUUACUCGGAAUUACUGGGCGUAAAGCGUGCGUAGGUGGUUGUUUAAGUCUGUUGUGAAAGCCCUGGGCUCAACCUGGGAAUUGCAGUGGAUACUGGACGACUAGAGUGUGGUAGAGGGUAGUGGAAUUCCUGGU